UGGACUAGGAAAUUGGACCAAUGGACUCAAA
rnacentral:piRNA from 1 species